rnacentral:rRNA from 1 species
UACGAAGGGGGCUAGCGUUGCUCGGAAUGACUGGGCGUAAAGGGCGCGUAGGCGGUUUGCAUAGUCAGACGUGAAAUUCCUGGGCUUAACCUGGGGGCUGCGUUUGAUACAUGCAGGCUUGAGUUCGGAAGAGGGUCGUGGAAUUCCCAGUGUAGAGGUGAAAUUCGUAGAUAUUGGGAAGAACACCAGUGGCGCAAGCGGCUGACUGGCCGAGACCUGACGCUGAGACGCGACGGCGUGGGGAGCAAACCGG